rnacentral:rRNA from 1 species
AUUGAACGCUGGCGGCAGGCUUAACACAUGCAAGUCGAGCGGAGAUGAGGUGCUUGCACCUAAUCUCAGCGGCGGACGGGUGAGUAAUGCUUAGGAAUCUGCCAUUUAGUGGGGGACAACAUUCCGAAAGGGAUGCUAAUACCGCAUACGCCCUACGGGGGAAAGCAGGGGAUCUUCGGACCUUGCGCUAAAUGAUGAGCCUAAGUCGGAUUAGCUAGUUGGUGGGGUAAAGGCCUACCAAGGCGACGAUCUGUAGCGGGUCUGAGAGGAUGAUCCGCCACACUGGGACUGAGACACGGCCCAGACUCCUACGGGAGGCAGCAGUGGGGAAUAUUGGACAAUGGGCGGAAGCCUGAUCCAGCCAUGCCGCGUGUGUGAAGAAGGCCUUUUGGUUGUAAAGCACUUUAAGCGAGGAGGAGGCUACCUGGAUUAAUACUCUGGGAUAGUGGACGUUACUCGCAGAAUAAGCACCGGCUAACUCUGUGCCAGCAGCCGCGGUAAUACAGAGGGUGCGAGCGUUAAUCGGAUUUACUGGGCGUAAAGCGUGCGUAGGCGGCUGAUUAAGUCGGAUGUGAAAUCCCUGAGCUUAACUUAGGAAUUGCAUUCGAUACUGGUCAGCUAGAGUAUGGGAGAGGAUGGUAGAAUUCCAGGUGUAGCGGUGAAAUGCGUAGAGAUCUGGAGGAAUACCGAUGGCGAAGGCAGCCAUCUGGCCUAAUACUGACGCUGAGGUACGAAAGCAUGGGGAGCAAACAGGAUUAGAUACCCUGGUAGUCCAUGCCGUAAACGAUGUCUACUAGCCGUUGGGGCCUUUGAGGCUUUAGUGGCGCAGCUAACGCGAUAAGUAGACCGCCUGGGGAGUACGGUCGCAGGACUAAAACUCAAAUGAAUUGACGGGGGCCCGCACAAGCGGUGGAGCAUGUGGUUUAAUUCGAUGCAACGCGAAGAACCUUACCUGGCCUUGACAUACUAGAAACUUUCCAGAGAUGGAUUGGUGC